rnacentral:rRNA from 1 species
GAUGAACGCUGGCGGCGUGCCUAAUACAUGCAAGUCGAGCGAACAGAUGAGAAGCUUGCUUCUCUGAUGUUAGCGGCGGACGGGUGAGUAACACGUGGGUAACCUACCUAUAAGACUGGGAUAACUCCGGGAAACCGGGGCUAAUACCGGAUAAUAUUUUGAACCGCAUGGUUCAAUAGUGAAAGACGGUUUCGGCUGUCACUUAUAGAUGGACCCGCGCCGUAUUAGCUAGUUGGUAAGGUAACGGCUUACCAAGGCGACGAUACGUAGCCGACCUGGGAGGGUGAUCGGCCACACUGGAACUGAGACACGGUCCAGACUCCUACGGGAGGCAGCAGUAGGGAAUCUUCCGAAAUGGGCGAAAGCCUGACGGAGCAACGCCGCGUGAGUGAUGAAGUUCUUCGGACCGUAAAACUCUGUUGUUAGGGAAGAACAAAUUUGUUAGUAACUGAACAAGUCUUGACGGUACCUAACCAGAAAGCCACGGCUAACUACGUGCCAGCCGCCGCGGAAA